AGUAGGGCACUAGGACCCAGGAUUUGUGACUUACAUGUCCCAGCAGCGCGGGAAGCCUGUCCCCGUUUGGAUUGGCUGGAGCCGGGCGGGAAGAAAGAGGGUCAUAAAAAAGUUUUUUUGCCGCGCAACAGAGGGAGAGAGGACCGCUGACCACCGCCGCCGAGUGUGUCGACAAGAGAGCGCUGAGACGAGCCACAGCUGUUCGAGACCGAGAGCGGGGCACCGGCACUGAGGAGGGUCUGCUGCCGCCGGGACAGAGCCGCCAUCAGCACUCAGCCAGGAAGCGAGCCGCAGCCGCGCACUGUGGGGGCGCUGGGAGUGGAGGAGGAGAGACCAGCCGCUACCCACAGCCGCCGGGAGCAGAACUGCCAGCCGCACAGAGUGAGUGAGAGAGAGAGCUGGUACCUGACCACCCGCCAGCCGCACAGAGCGGGAGACCCACCCAAGAGCCCUGAGCUGCCACACGCCGCCCGCUGCAGGGACCGGAGACGGGGCCAAGUGACUUUUAAGAUCGGUCAAAAUUCCCGCAGUGAUAGUCAGAGACUUCCUAAUCUCUUCAAUCAACAUCCAGCGACAGCAAAUGGGAGAAUAAUGAUCAAAUCCCUCCCCUGGACCACUACUCUCCUUAUCUUGAACAGCACUGUCAUACUCUACAGGAUCUAUACAGGGUCUUCUAGGCGUACUUCUCUACCUAUGGGAAGUAGAUUCUGCCUAUGAUGAGUUAAAACUGCACCUUGUCCAUUUUCAAGCUGAACUCUAUACACAGCUCUUCAAUCAACAUCCAGCGACAGCAAAUGGGAGAAUAAUGAUCAAAUCCCUCCCCUGGACCACUACUCUCCUUAUCUUGAACAGCACUGUCAUACUCUACAGGAUCUAUACAGGGUCUUCUAGGCGUACUUCUCUACCUAUGGGAAGUAGAUUCUGCCUAUGAUGAGUUAAAACUGCACCUUGUCCAUUUUCAAGCUGAACUCUAUACACAGCUCUUCAAUCAACAUCCAGCGACAGCAAAUGGCGUUGCCUAGCAAUAAUCCUCCCCGCUUCUGACUGACAGCCCGGUGAGCAGGCAUCCGGUCAGGUGACCACCCCUGUGAACGGAAGUCCAGAUCCCGGAAGCGGAGCAGAGGCGCGGCGUGGACGUCUGGAACAAGCGCCAGGCUCGUACUACAGCCUUGAGUAAACCCCGACAACAACUCCUGGAGAUUAAAGAGAAUAAACAAGGCGUUGCCUAGCAAUAAUCCUCCCUGCCUCUGACUGAAAGCCCGGUGAGCAGGCAUCCGGUCAGGUGACCACCCCUGUGAACGGAAGUCCAGAUCCCGGAAGCGGAGCAGAGGCGCGGCGUGGACGGCUGGAACAAGCGCCAGAAACAAAAAGCGGUUUCAGUCAUCGCAGCGUAUGUAGGUUCAACACUUCAACGACCCAGCCGGCGCUGCCAAAAUUUUAAUUGGAAACCUCCAAAGAAAUCCGACGUCCUGCUAAAAUCCUCACCAAGCCUGUUCCAUUUCUUUUUUUUUUAUUAUUAUCACUUGAAAAGCAUUUAUUUAAAGGUCAUGAAAAAAAUUGCGCUCUCUCCUUCCAUUCGCGCUCCUGUCAGGCUUUCAGCUUUGUUAAGUCUGGCAUUAAAAAGCUUUUUUUUUCCCCCUUUUAUUUUAAAAUUGUAUUAAAUGCCUUGGUGUUUGUGGGAACAUAUUUAUGCAGACAUAAUUAUUAUACUGUUUUAAUAAAACAGCGAUUUGCAGACAAGGAAAAACCUUCCAGCCACAGAUUUCAUUCGAUUGACAGAUCCUUCUUUUAGUGUGUGGGGGUUUAAUUGCAGCACGCUCAGAUGUAUAGUGGUGGGUUCUCACCAUUCUUGUUCCUCAUGUACUAGGGAGCCGGUAAGAUGAAUGCAGACGUAGAAAUGUUUUUAGAUGAGAGCUAAUUUAUUGUCCAUGUAAGUGUUUCUAACGCCAAUGUUUAUUCAGCGUUACAGUCUGUUGUGUGUCUCAACUGUGUAUUUAUUAAAAUAUCUGCAUUAU